UAGGGAAUCUUCCGCAAUGGGCGAAAGCUUGACGGAGCAACGCCGCGUGAGUGAUGAAGGUCUUCGGAUCGUAAAACUCUGUUAUUAGGGAAGAACAAAUGUGUAAGUAACUAUGCACGUCUUGACGGUACCUAAUCAGAAAGCCACGGCUAACUACGUGCCAGCAGCCGCGGUAAUACGUAGGUGGCAAGCGUUAUCCGGAAUUAUUGGGCGUAAAGCGCGCGUAGGCGGUUUUUUAAGUCUGAUGUGAAAGCCCACGGCUCAACCGUGGAGGGUCAUUGGAAACUGGAAAACUUGAGUGCAGAAGAGGAAAGUGGAAUUCCAUGUGUAGCGGUGAAAUGCGCAGAGAUAUUGCGGAACACCAGUGGCGAAGGCGACUUUCUGGUCUGUAACUGACGCUGAUGUGCGAAAGCGUGGGGAUCAAACAGG
rnacentral:rRNA from 1 species